rnacentral:rRNA from 1 species
CUCACCAAGGCAACGAUGCGUAGCCGACCUGAGAGGGUGAUCGGCCACACUGGGACUGAGACACGGCCCAGACUCCUACGGGAGGCAGCAGUAGGGAAUCUUCCGCAAUGGACGAAAGUCUGACGGAGCAACGCCGCGUGAGUGAUGAAGGUUUUCGGAUCGUAAAACUCUGUUGUUAGGGAAGAACAAGUACCGUUCGAAUAGGGCGGUACCUUGACGGUACCUAACCAGAAAGCCACGGCUAACUACGUGCCAGCAGCCGCGGUAAUACGUAGGUGGCAAGCGUUGUCCGGAAUUAUUGGGCGUAAAGCGCGCGCAGGCGGUUUCUUAAGUCUGAUGUGAAAGCCCCCGGCUCAACCGGGGAGGGUCAUUGGAAACUGGGGAACUUGAGUGCAGAAGAGGAGAGUGGAAUUCCACGUGUAGCGGUGAAAUGCGUAGAGAUGUGGAGGAACACCAGUGGCGAAGGCGACUCUCUGGUCUGUAACUGACGCUGAGGCGCGAAAGCGUGGGGAGCGAACAGGAUUAGAUACCCUGGUAGUCCACGCCGUAAACGAUGAGUGCUAAGUGUUAGAGGGUUUCCGCCCUUUAGUGCUGCAGCAAACGCAUUAAGCACUCCGC